UAACUAGGUAAUAAUUUGAUACAGGCGUC
rnacentral:sRNA from 1 species